CCUACGGGUGGCAGCAGUGAGGAAUAUUGGUCAAUGGGCGAGAGCCUGAACCAGCCAAGUCGCGUGAGGGAGUACUGCCCUAUGGGUUGUACACCUCUUUUGUCGGGGAGCAAAAGCCGGACGUGUCCGGCUGUGAGAGUACCCGAAGAAAAAGCAUCGGCUAACUCCGUGCCAGCAGCCGCGGUAAAACGGAGGAUGCGAGCGUUAUCCGGAUUUAUUGGGUUUAAGGGGUGCGCAGGCGGACUGUUAAGUCAGCGGUGAAAUCGUGGGGCUAAACCCCAUCCAGCCGUUGAACCUGGGGAUAUAGAGUGUGCGGGAGGUAUGCGGAAUUCGUGGUGUAGCGGUGAAAUGCAUAGAUAUCACGCAGAACCCCGAUUGCGAAGGCAGCAUACCGUUGCACAACUGACGCUCAGGCACGAAAGCGUGGGUAUCGAACAGGAUUAGAUACCCUAGUAGUC
rnacentral:rRNA from 1 species